rfam:Dorea sp. 5-2 genomic scaffold acPFE-supercont1.12, whole genome shotgun sequence.
UUGAGCCGUGUGAGGGGAAACUCUCAUGCACGGUUCUUAGAGGGGAAGGCGGUAGUAAUACCGCUGACCUACUCGAC